rnacentral:lncRNA from 1 species
AAAUCUUUCAACACCAUGCCAAUUUUCAUCUUAAUCCAAUUGAUAGAACUUCAAAUAUCAUAGAAACCCUAUCCAACCUCAAACUGCCACCUUCCGAAAUCCUCUUGUGCUAAAAAUUAGAUAUCUCUAAACUAUGCUAUUAGAUGAUUAUAAAAUUUUGUAUACACUUAGCACACCUGAUAAUCUAAAUAGUUUCAAAUUUUCAAUCAUAAAUAUUACACCAAUUGCACGAACUAACCAAAAUUACUAGCCCUAAUUAUAUUAUAUAAAACCCAAAUCACUGAUACAAAUCCUGA